rnacentral:rRNA from 1 species
GAUGAACGCUAGCGAUAGGCUUAACACAUGCAAGUCGAGGGGCAGCACAAGGUAGCUUGCUAUCUGGGUGGCGACCGGCGCACGGGUGCGUAACGCGUAUGCAACUUGCCCUAUACAGGAGGAUAACCCGUCGAAAGACGGACUAAUACUGCGUAUGCUCACAACUUGGCAUCAAGUGGUGAGGAAAGAAAUUCGGUAUAGGAUAGGCAUGCGUCCCAUUAGCUUGUUGGUGAGGUAACGGCUCACCAAGGCAACGAUGGGUAGGGGAACUGAGAGGUUUAUCCCCCAGACUGGGACUGAGACACGGACCAGACUCCUACGGGAGGCAGCAGUAAGGAAUAUUGGUCAAUGGGCGCGAGCCUGAACCAGCCAAGUCGCGUGAAGGAUGACUGUCUUAUGGAUUGUAAACUUCUUUUAGACGGGAAUAACAAGAGUCACGUGUGACUCCCUGCAUGUACCGGAUGAAUAAGCAUCGGCUAACUCCGUG